rnacentral:rRNA from 1 species
ACGAACGCUGGCGGCACGCUUAACACAUGCAAGUCGAACGAGAGAAGAGAAGCUUGCUUUUCUGAUCUAGUGGCGGACGGGUGAGUAACACGUGAGCAAUCUGCCUUUCAGAGGGGGAUACCGAUUGGAAACGAUCGUUAAUACCGCAUAAUAUAAUUGAACCGCAUGAUUUGAUUAUCAAAGAUUUAUCGCUGAAAGAUGAGCUCGCGUCUGAUUAGCUAGUUGGUAAGGUAACGGCUUACCAAGGCGACGAUCAGUAGCCGGACUGAGAGGUUGAUCGGCCACAUUGGGACUGAGACACGGCCCAGACUCCUACGGGAGGCAGCAGUGGGGAAUAUUGCACAAUGGAGGAAACUCUGAUGCAGCGAUGCCGCGUGAGGGAAGAAGGUUUUAGGAUUGUAAACCUCUGUCUUCAGGGACGAAAAAUGACGGUACCUGAGGAGGAAGCUCCGGCUAACUACGUGCCAGCAGCCGCGGUAAUACGUAGGGAGCGAGCGUUGUCCGGAAUUACUGGGUGUAAAGGGAGCGUAGGCGGGAUCGCAAGUCAGAUGUGAAAACUAUGGGCUUAACCCAUAAACUGCAUUUGAAACUGUGGUUCUUGAGUGAAGUAGAGGUAAGCGGAAUUCCUAGUGUAGCGGUGAAAUGCGUAGAUAUUGGGAGGAACAUCAGUGGCGAAGGCGGCUUACUGGGCUUUAACUGACGCUGAGGCUCGAAAGCGUGGGGAGCAAACAGGAUUAGAUACCCUGGUAGUCCACGCCGUAAACGAUGAUUACUAGGUGUGGGGGGACUGACCCCUUCCGUGCCGCAGCAAACGCAAUAAGUAAUCCACCUGGGGAGUACGACCGCAAGGUUGAAACUCAAAGGAAUUGACGGGGGCCCGCACAAGCAGUGGAGUAUGUGGAUUAAUUCGAAGCAACGCGAAGAACCUUACCAGGUCUUGACAUCGUAUGCAUAGCUCAGAGAUGAGUGAAAUCUCUUCGGAGACAUAUAGACAGGUGGUGCAUGGUUGUCGUCAGCUCGUGUCGUGAGAUGUUGGGUUAAGUCCCGCAACGAGCGCAACCCUUACUGUUAGUUGCUACGCAAGAGCACUCUAGCAGGACUGCCGUUGACAAAACGGAGGAAGGUGGGGAUGACGUCAAAUCAUCAUGUCCCUUAUGACCUGGGCCUCACACGUACUACAAUGGCUGUCAACAGAGGGAAGCAAAGCCGCGAGGUGGAGCAAACCCCUAAAAGCAGUCUUAGUUCGGAUUGUAGGCUGCAACCCGCCUACAUGAAGUCGGAAUUGCUAGUAAUCGCAGAUCAGCAUGCUGCGGUGAAUACGUUCCCGGGCCUUGUACACACCGCCCGUCACGCCAUGGGAGUCGGUAACACCCGAAGCCUGUAGUCUAACCGCAAGGAGGACGCAGUCGAAGGUGGGAUUGAUGACUGGGGUG